UGGGGAAUAUUGGACAAUGGGCGAAAGCCUGAUCCAGCCAUGCCGCGUGUGUGAAGAAGGUCUUCGGAUUGUAAAGCACUUUAAGUUGGGAGGAAGGGCAGUAAGCGAAUACCUUGCUGUUUUGACGUUACCGACAGAAUAAGCACCGGCUAACUCUGUGCCAGCAGCCGCGGUAAUACAGAGGGUGCAAGCGUUAAUCGGAAUUACUGGGCGUAAAGCGCGCGUAGGUGGUUCGUUAAGUUGAAUGUGAAAGCCCCGGGCUCAACCUGGGAACUGCAUCCAAGACAGGCGAGCUAGAGUAGGGCAGAGGGUGGUGGAAUUUCCUGUGUAGAGGUGAAAUGCGUAGAUAUAGGAAGGAACACCAGUGGCGAAGGCGACCACCUGGGCUCAUACUGACACUGAGGUGCGAAAGCGUGGGGAGCAAACAGG
rnacentral:rRNA from 1 species